GGAAACUGAAAUUAAAAGGAAUCAAAGAACGUUCCCAAGGUUACAUAAUCAAUGUGACAAAGCUGGAAUUUUUCAAUGUGCUCACAAGGACUAAAUCAGGGGAAUAAAUGAGGACAUAUCAAGGAAAUCUCAGAAGAGGGGAAUCUUGAAUUGAGCCUUAAAGGAUCACCGAACCAGAGCUUCGAAUAGACAGCUACAGUACUUAUCACGAAGCAGAAAGAAAAAAACAUCCAAAACUUUGACCAAGCAAACGAGCAUUUUUCCUGCAAGAUAAACCAUGACUAUCCCCAAAAAACCUCCAAAGUCAUUUGGAUGAAAACCUAGUUACUUGGUGAAUUUUUUAAAAAUGUGGUUAACUAAUUAUGUGGGUAUCAUCUGGGCCACUGUUUCCCAGUCCUAUGUUCUACUAGGUACUUCUAAAUUGCCAACUUUUGAAACACACUUUAUAAUGAAAUUUGAUUUUGUUUGUGCACACAGAUCCAUGGAACAGGAGACUUUUUAAAACUAUAUUCUUUACUACAAUUGUGAGGACAAAGGAAGAAAAAGAGGAGAAAGUGGGAAAAGGCAUCCAACCAAAAGAAAAAAAGAAAGAGAAAAAUUAAAAGAGAAAAGUUUAGAAUGGGUGGCAGAUAACUUAUUCUCUGCUUGGUCUCAUCUACCAUUAAUACAGGUUUGCUUCUUGGGGAAUAGAUUUGAUGUCUUACUAUGCCUGCAGUACAUUCUCCAGAAUGACUGAGAAGUUAUUUCUGUGAGCCAGCUAGGACCUAAGUAUUGGUCCGAUAAAACAGAUCUUUUUCCUUUACAAAAUGAUAGUACAAGAGAAAGAGCAUGAAGCCAUCAGUCCCGAGGAACUGAAGACUCAAGUUUUCCUAGAAAAGAAUGCCAGGGAAUGAAACUCAACCCCAAAUAAGUUUAUCCGCUGUUCACAGUCUUAAGUUUUGUUGGCAGUUCCUAACUCUUGGCACCAUUCAAAGUUUCAUCAGUGGUGAGACAGCUCAUUGCUACCCUCUCAACGCCUUCUUCUGAGUGCAACGUAUGGUACUUUCCUGCUGCCUUCUAGCAGCUGCUAUCAUGUUCCCCAUGAAGUCUUCUAAGUUCUUCAGAGCUGCACCAGGGAACUAGACCUAGGUAUGGAAAAACAUUGUCAUCUCCAAGAUGCUCCUGAGCGCUUUAAUGCCAGAAGCCUGAUGUUUAACCGAACAACUUCCCGAAAUAUCCUAAGGCUACAGAGUAUCCACAGUCACUCAUUCAAGGACAGGUGGGGAGUGAGAGGUGUGUAUAUUUAAGAACACAUGUGAAUUGGAACAUGCUGUUAUUUAUCUCUUUUUUCUUUCUUUUUUUUUUGUGCUAUCAACAGUUUUAGUCACCAU